UACGGAGGAUGCGAGCGUUAUCCGGAUUCAUUGGGUUUAAAGGGUGCGUAGGCGGACUAAUAAGUCAGUGGUGAAAACCUGCAGCUUAACUGUAGACGUGCCAUUGAUACUGUUAGUCUUGAGUAUGGUCAAGGUAGGCGGAAUGUGUAAUGUAGCGGUGAAAUGCUUAGAUAUUACACAGAACACCAAUUGCGAAGGCAGCUUACUGGGCCAUUACUGACGCUGAUGCACGAAAGCGUGGGGAGCGAAC
rnacentral:rRNA from 1 species